rnacentral:rRNA from 1 species
AUGAACGCUGGCGGCGUGCUUAACACCUGCCAGUCGCACGAAGCACUUUAUUUGAUUUCCUUCGGGACUGAUUAUUUUGUGACUGAGUGGCGGACGGGUGAGUAACGCGUGGGUAACCUGCCUUGUACAGGGGGAUAACAGUUGGAAACGGCUGCUAAUACCGCAUAAGCGCACAGCAUCGCAUGAUGCAGUGUGAAAAACUCCGGUGGUAUAAGAUGGACCCGCGUUGGAUUAGCUAGUUGGUGAGGUAACGGCCCACCAAGGCGACGAUCCAUAGCCGACCUGAGAGGGUGACCGGCCACAUUGGGACUGAAACACGGCCCAAACUCCUACGGGAGGCAGCAGUGGGGAAUAUUGCACAAUGGGCGAAAGCCUGAUGCAGCGACGCCGCGUGAGCGAAGAAGUAUUUCGGUAUGUAAAGCUCUAUCAGCAGGGAAGAUAAUGACGGUACCUGACUAAGAAGCACCGGCUAAAUACGUG